UGAAUCUCUUCAAUCAUUGCAUUCUUCCACUCUGGUUGCUCUGCAGCUUCUUCAUAAUACAGUGGAUCAACAGCUAACAAGGCAAAACUACAAGCUGAAUAAACAUCUUUCAGUGAUCUGAACUUUGUUGGUGGAGUUUCGCUGGAUGGUGCCGAAGUUGGAGAAUGAGAGCUUGCUGGAGUAGAAUUUUUGGUACUUCCAUGAGAAGAGAA
rnacentral:lncRNA from 1 species